rnacentral:lncRNA from 1 species
GAAGAAGCCAGAAAGAUCUUAUUCGCCCCUCUUCCUUACAGCAGUAAGGAGUUCCCAACUUAGAGGGGGGAAUGAAGCCAGAUUUAAAGUUAGGUAGUCAGUGUAGUUAGGUAAAUCGGGUCUAAUAUCGAGUGAAAUCUAAAAUGGAGGCCAGGGGCUGGGGAUGUGGCUCAAGCGGCAGCGAGCUCGCCUGGCAUGGGUGCGACCCGGGUUCGAUCCUCAGCACCACAUACAACAAAGAUGUUGUGUCUGCCGAAAACUAAAAUGUAAAUAAAAUAUUUAUCAAAAAAAUAAAAAAAUAAAAAAAUAAAAUGGAGGCCAUGCUGGCAAUGAUUCCAGGAAACGCAGGACAACUCAUGGAAUGUUAAUGAAGUCCCGAAAAGGCCCUAGGCCAAAGUCCACCUCAAAGAAAUGUUAAUGAACAGCCCCCAGCAAAAAGGUG